ensembl:lncRNA LINC01515 long intergenic non-protein coding RNA 1515
GACUCCUCCUCUUCCUGUGUGGAACCUGGAAUUCAAACGGCUGGGUAGGAAGCACGCUAGCAGGGGCCUCUGGCCUUGCUGAGGGUCCCUGUUUCCCCUUUUCCUUCCUUUUCACCCAACAAAACCCUGCUUUACUCACCCUUCAAACCAUCUAUGAGCCUAAAUUGUCGUGGUCGUGGAAUGGACAAGGACCCAGUCUUUAGCUGAACUAAGGGAAAGUCCUGCUUUUUGGCGCGCAACAGGGGAGCUCAAGAAACAGGCCUCACUCACGGCAUAUGGAACUAACCACGCCCCUAACUAAGAAGGCACACCUUAGUUGCAGUUAGCACACAAUUAAAGCAACUCUCCAAGUUUUACCUUAAAGUUCAAAAUUGCUAGGAGUUGAAACUACUAGAAAUAUAUUUACAUGCAAGAGUCAAAGAAACUUUGAACUAUUUAUGGCCUUUAAUAAUUAAGUAAGGUAUACUCCUGUGAUCAAGACUUGGAGCAUAUUUGUUUCUCUCUGCCUGGUUCCUCUAGAAAUUGGAAACUAUCAGAACAGAGACCAACUCCGUUUCCCGAUCCCUUUGCAAUCUGCAUUGAACCAUGAGUCAAGUUCUUGAUAAAGGAGUGAAAAUGGAUGACAUUUAAGGCACAUCUGAAGAUGGGGAAACCACAGCACAGAAUAAGGCUGGGCCCUUGAAUCAAUAAAUGAAGGAGAACUACUCAAGAGAACAAAACCACCAGCAAUAUCCACCUGUAUUUGUCUUUUCAUAAUGUGUGACACAUGUGCUCAUGGAUUAUUGUCCGAAGCAAGACAUGUGACCAAGCCUAACAUCAACUGGGUGAAGAGCUAUAUGUUCCUUUCUCAAGAGGCACUACAAGUGACAUGCCACUGGGCAGGAUUAUCCUUUCUACUCUCCUACUUUCUGAACUACUUUUCUCCCUCUGUAAGUCUUAAAGAAGUUCAAUGAGCUAUAAGUGAACUCAGGUAGACAACUCAACAAAAUCAAGAAGACAAUACAUGAACAAAAUGAUACUUUGAAUAAAUAAAUAUAAACCAUAAAAAA